GAGCCGCAGCUCUGCCGCCGGGGGAGAGAGGGUAUACAAAGUGACCAAAAAUUUGCAAUUCUCGACUUUGAGUGAUGUAGUGGGAGCGGAAGUGACCUCACUCUGCACGCGCUUCGGCGACAGGAUACCAUAAAAAGGACUGGGCGGGCACUUAGUGUCACCACGCCAGCCGGUUCACAGCUUCCACACAUCGGAUAUCCAAGUCAAGCAUUUCCAUUCAGGUUCUGAUGACGUUCGUCUCACAAUCUUUUGCGGCUCGAGGAGGCAGGUGGUAUGAGAAGGCUAUUUCUUGUAUUUAUUCACAAGUCAGCCCCCUGAUGACGUUUGCGGUCCAUCUGUAUGUCCUGACGUGCUGGCGUUCCCUGCAUAUGUGACAUAUGCUUUGACAUGACGCGAAACUAGUGCUUGUCAGCGUUUCUUUCCACCUCCCAUGUUGUCCAGCUAUGCCUGAAUA